AUGAGAACUUGCCCCUCGGGGUAGAUCUCCCACCCUUUGUGAACCAUACCUCUGUUGCUUUGGCAGGUCGGUCCUAGGAUCGCCGGCGUCUUGCUGGUUAGCGCCUGCCAGAGGAUCUUAAACGCUUCUGUUUGUGUUGUCCGAGUCAGAUAUUAAAUCGUUA
rnacentral:misc_RNA from 1 species